UAACUAAAUUUCUUUUUUGAAAUAUCCCACAACACAGCCAUUUACAAUUCCAUUGCGUGUUAAACAACAACUUGAACAAAAAGUCAAUGAAAUAGUAGCAGAAGACUGGACAAUUGAUACCAUUAAAAAUUCCCACUACACCAAGUACAAAUUCACAAGUGAAUUAAUGUCUUCAAUAUUCACUAAUGAAUAUUUAAAAACGCACAAACGAUCUGGCAAAGGCGGAAAACCAGGAGCAAUCCAGCGGGAAAUCAUGAACCCGACAUACGUAGAAGAAAUAACAAAAUACCUGAUUCACGCCUGGCGCAAUUUAAAAGGAUCCACCCCUAAGAU